UAUCCUGACCGUGCGAAGGUAGCGUAAUCAUUUGUCUUUUAAAUAGAGACCUGUAUGAAUGGCAUAACGAGGGUUUAACUGUCUCCCUCCCCUAGUCAAUGAAAUUGAUCUGCCCGUGCAGAAGCGGACAUAAACACAUAAGACGAGAAGACCCUAUGGAGCUUUAGACAAAAGAUCAAACAUGUAAAGAAACCAAACUAACCAAAAGGAACACAAGGGCCACAAAACCCGACGUAAAAUGAUCCAAAUGUCUUCGGUUGGGGCGACCAUGGGGGAAAGAAAAGCCCCCACGAGGAACUAGGGGCAAUCCAUUAAGUCAAGAGAUACACCUCUAAACAACAGAAAAUCUGACCAAAAAUGACCCAGGACACUAAUCCUGAUCAACGAACCAAGUUACCCUAGGGAUAACAGCGCAAUCCUUUCCCAGAGUCCAUAUCGACGAAAGGGUUU
rnacentral:rRNA from 1 species